rnacentral:rRNA from 1 species
GACGAACGCUGGCGGCGUGCCUAAUACAUGCAAGUCGAGCGAGCUUGCCUAGAUGAUUUUAGUGCUUGCACUAAAUGAAACUAGAUACAAGCGAGCGGCGGACGGGUGAGUAACACGUGGGUAACCUGCCCAAGAGACUGGGAUAACACCUGGAAACAGAUGCUAAUACCGGAUAACAACACUAGACGCAUGUCUAGAGUUUGAAAGAUGGUUCUGCUAUCACUCUUGGAUGGACCUGCGGUGCAUUAGCUAGUUGGUAAGGUAACGGCUUACCAAGGCAAUGAUGCAUAGCCGAGUUGAGAGACUGAUCGGCCACAUUGGGACUGAGACACGGCCCAAACUCCUACGGGAGCAGCAUGUCUGAGUACGCUGAGCGGGCUGGGACAAGGCGCAUAG